AAUCAACGCUGGCGGCGUGCCUCAGACAUGCAAGUCGAACGAUUAAGACUUCCUUCGGGAAGUGCAUAAAGUGGCGCACGGGUGAGUAACACGUAAGUAAUCUACCCUCGAGUGGGGAAUAACGUUCGGAAACGGACGCUAAUACCGCAUAACGCAGCGGCACCGCAAGGUGACAGUUGUUAAAGGAGCAAUCCGCUUGAGGAGGAGCUUGCGGCAGAUUAGCUAGUUGGUAGGGUAAUGGCUUACCAAGGCUACGAUCUGUAUCCGGUCUAAGAGGACGGUCGGACACACUGACACUGAAUAACGGGUCAGACUCCUACGGGAGGCAGCAGUCGGGAAUUUUGGGCAAUGGGCGAAAGCCUGACCCAGCAACGCCGCGUGAAGGAUGAAGUAUUUCGGUAUGUAAACUUCGAAAGAAUAGGAAGAAUAAAUGACGGUACUAUAUAUAAGCUCCGGCUAACUAACGUGCCAGCAGCCGCGGU
rnacentral:rRNA from 1 species